UACGGGGGGGGGCAAGCGUUGUUCGGAAUUACUGGGCGUAAAGGGCUCGUAGGCGGCCAACUAAGUCGGAUGUGAAAUCCCCAGGCUCAACUUGGGAACUGCAUCCGAUACUGGAUGGCUUGAAUUCGGGAGAGGGAUGCAGAAUUCCAGGUGUAGCGGUGAAAUGCGUAGAUAUCAGGAGGAACACCAAUGGCGAAGGCAGCUCGCUGGAACGGUACUGACGCUGAGGCGCGAAAGCGUGGGGAGCGAACAGG
rnacentral:rRNA from 1 species